UACGGAGGAUGCGAGCGUUAUCCGGAUUUAUUGGGUUUAAAGGGUGCGUAGGCGGGAUGCCAAGUCAGCGGUAAAAAUGCGGUGCUCAACGCCGUCGAGCCGUUGAAACUGGCGUUCUUGAGUGGGCGAGAAGUACGCGGAAUGCGUGGUGUAGCGGUGAAAUGCAUAGAUAUCACGCAGAACUCCGAUUGCGAAGGCGGCAUACCGGCGCCCUACUGACGCUGAGGCACGAAAGCGUGGGUAUCGAACAGG
rnacentral:rRNA from 1 species